rnacentral:rRNA from 1 species
GUAGGGAAUUUUGCGCAAUGGACGAAAGUCUGACGCAGCAACGCCGCGUGAGGGAUGAAGGUCUUCGGAUUGUAAACCUCUGUUGAGUGGGAAGAAACGCUUGCGGGAUAAUACCCCGCAGGUCUGACGGUACCAUUCGAGUAAGCUCCGGCUAACUACGUGCCAGCAGCCGCGGUAAUACGUAGGGAGCUAGCGUUGUUCGGAAUCACUGGGCGUAAAGGGAGCGUAGGUGGGAGGAUAAGUUAGGAGUUAAAUGUGCGGGCUCAACCCGUAAUCUGCUUUUAAUACUGUCCUUCUUGAGUAUGGGAGAGGUUAACGGAAUUCCAGGUGUAGCGGUGGAAUGCGUAGAUAUCUGGAAGAACACCAGUAGCGAAGGCGGUUAACUGGCCCAAUACUGACACUGAGGCUCGAAAGCAUGGGGAGCAAACAGGAUUAGAAACCCGAGUAGUCC